GAUCUUCAAGUCCUUGUCUACCUGGAAGAGGACCAUUUCUACCUGGCACAUGUCAAGUGCAAGACUAGAAAAACAGGCCUGACGGAUUCCUACUUUUUUCAAAUUUCACGUGGAACGGAGCUUGUCAGGGACUCGCUGUUGUCGGUGCGUUUAUUUAGUUUCAGAAUAUUUUAAGAAAUAUUUAAUUCAUUUUCAGGAUAACAAGAUGCCUGUGCAAUUCCACUUGAAUGAUGCGAGAAUUUUCGGGUAUCGCGACCUGGAGAGACUGCAUUUUCCGAUUGAUCUACCGGAUGGCGUGCAGAAAAUUGAAGGCGAGAGUAACGUGGACGCCUAUAUCCGAACCUAUUGCCUGACUGAUAAAGAGGUGAGGCCUUCAGCAAGACUGUGGUAGUUUAGGCUUUUUACUUUUCCAGAAAGCCAGAGUUCCCCGUCUCAACGAAUCUGAAAAGAGAGCAAUGUUUGAUAGGGUAAGGGUAUUUUUGAAAAUUAGGCCAGUAGGCAAGAACCUCUUCCAGAAAAUUCUAAGCAACGAGAUCGGAGUCCACAUGAAGCACGGAGCAAUGUUGAGGGAUUCGAAGUUCAACCCAACCGCCGGAUCGCUUACGCCUUGGGCUGGAACAAAGUGUGCGGAGGUCUCCUGGUUCCUGCCAUCUUCGGGGAGGACGAGAAAUCGACGUGCGGAUUUGCUCGCUGCGAGAGUUGUCAAGUAUACCGAGCACAUUGCACACUUGUAUGUGGCUAGACUGGACAAGACGAUCUACAUGCAUGUCGCG
rnacentral:sRNA from 1 species